UGCGGGGUAGAGUAAUGGUUCACUCAACAGAUUCAUGAUCUGGAGAUUGCAGGUUCGAAUCCUGUCUCCGCCU
rnacentral:tRNA from 1 species